CGUCUGGAAAGGCGCGCGAUACAGGGUGACAGCCCCGUACACAAAAGCGCAUGUGCUGUGAGCUCGAUGAGUAGGGCGGGACACGUGGUAUCCUGUCUGAAUAUGGGGGGACCAUCCUCCAAGGCUAAAUACUCCUGACUGACCGAUAGUGAACCAGUACCGUGAGGGAAAGGCGAAAAGAACCCCGGCGAGGGGAGUGAAAAAGAACCUGAAACCGUGUACGUACAAGCAGUGGGAGCACAGGUUUACCUGUGUGACUGCGUACCUUUUGUAUAAUGGGUCAGCGACUUAUAUUCUGUAGCAAGGUUAACCGAAUAGGGGAGCCGGAGGGAAACCGAGUCUUAACCGGGCGUUAAGUUGCAGGGUAUAGACCCGAAACCCGGUGAUCUAGCCAUGGGCAGGUUGAAGGUUGGGUAACACUAACUGGAGGACCGAACCGACUAAUGUUGAAAAAUUAGCGGAUGACCUGUGGCUGGGGGUGAAAGGCCAAUCAAACCGGGAGAUAGCUGGUUCUCCCCGAAAGCUAUUUAGGUAGCGCCUCGUGAAUUCAUCUCCGGGGGUAGAGCACUGUUUCGGCUAGGGGGCCAUCCCGGCUUACCAACCCGAUGCAAACUGCGAAUACCGGAGAAUGUUAUCACGGGAGACACACGGCGGGUGCUAACGUCCGUCGUGAAGAGGGAAACAACCCAGACCGCCAGCUAAGGUCCCAAAGUCAUGGUUAAGUGGGAAACGAUGUGGGAAGGCCCAGACAGCCAGGAUGUUGGCUUAGAAGCAGCCAUCAUUUAAAGAAAGCGUAAUAGCUCACUGGUCGAGUCGGCCUGCGCGGAAGAUGUAACGGGGCUAAACCAUGCACCGAAGCUGCGGCAGCGACACUAUGUGUUGUUGGGUAGGGGAGCGUUCUGUAAGCCUGUGAAGGUGUGUCGUGAGGCAUGCUGGAGGUAUCAGAAGUGCGAAUGCUGACAUAAGUAACGAUAAAGCGGGUGAAAAGCCCGCUCGCCGGAAGACCAAGGGUUCCUGUCCAACGUUAAUCGGGGCAGGGUGAGUCGACCCCUAAGGCGAGGCCGAAAGGCGUAGUCGAUGGGAAACGGGUUAAUAUUCCCGUACUUGGUGUUACUGCGAAGGGGGGACGGAGAAGGCUAUGUUGGCCGGGCGACGGUUGUCCCGGUUUAAGCGUGUAGGUGUGUGUUCCAGGUAAAUCCGGUUCACUUUAACACUGAGGCGUGACGACGAGGCACUACGGUGCUGAAGCAACAAAUGCCCUGCUUCCAGGAAAAGCCUCUAAGCAUCAGGUAACAUCAAAUCGUACCCCAAACCGACACAGGUGGUCAGGUAGAGAAUACCAAGGCGCUUGAGAGAACUCGGGUGAAGGAACUAGGCAAAAUGGUGCCGUAACUUCGGGAGAAGGCACGCUGACACGUAGGUGAAGUGAUUUACUCAUGGAGCUGAAGUCAGUCGAAGAUACCAGCUGGCUGCAACUGUUUAUUAAAAACACAGCACUGUGCAAACACGAAAGUGGACGUAUACGGUGUGACGCCUGCCCGGUGCCGGAAGGUUAAUUGAUGGGGUCAGCGCAAGCGAAGCUCCUGAUCGAAGCCCCGGUAAACGGCGGCCGUAACUAUAACGGUCCUAAGGUAGCGAAAUUCCUUGUCGGGUAAGUUCCGACCUGCACGAAUGGCGUAAUGAUGGCCAGGCUGUCUCCACCCGAGACUCAGUGAAAUUGAACUCGCUGUGAAGAUGCAGUGUACCCGCGGCAAGACGGAAAGACCCCGUGAACCUUUACUAUAGCUUGACACUGAACAUUGAGCCUUGAUGUGUAGGAUAGGUGGGAGGCUUUGAAGUGUGGACGCCAGUCUGCGUGGAGCCAACCUUGAAAUACCACCCUUUAAUGUUUGAUGUUCUAACGUGGACCCGUAAUCCGGGUUGCGGACAGUGUCUGGUGGGUAGUUUGACUGGGGCGGUCUCCUCCUAAAGAGUAACGGAGGAGCACGAAGGUUGGCUAAUCCUGGUCGGACAUCAGGAGGUUAGUGCAAUGGCAUAAGCCAGCUUGACUGCGAGCGUGACGGCGCGAGCAGGUGCGAAAGCAGGUCAUAGUGAUCCGGUGGUUCUGAAUGGAAGGGCCAUCGCUCAACGGAUAAAAGGUACUCCGGGGAUAACAGGCUGAUACCGCCCAAGAGUUCAUAUCGACGGCGGUGUUUGGCACCUCGAUGUCGGCUCAUCACAUCCUGGGGCUGAAGUAGGUCCCAAGGGUAUGGCUGUUCGCCAUUUAAAGUGGUACGCGAGCUGGGUUUAGAACGUCGUGAGACAGUUCGGUCCCUAUCUGCCGUGGGCGCUGGAGAACUGAGGGGGGCUGCUCCUAGUACGAGAGGACCGGAGUGGACGCAUCACUGGUGUUCGGGUUGUCAUGCCAAUGGCACUGCCCGGUAGCUAAAUGCGGAAGAGAUAAGUGCUGAAAGCAUCUAAGCACGAAACUUGCCCCGAGAUGAGUUCU
rnacentral:rRNA from 1 species